CGGGGGGAGCAAGCGUUGUUCGGAUUUACUGGUCGUAAAGGGCGCGUAGGCGGUCAGCACAAGUCAGUUGUGAAAUCUCCGGGCUUAACUCGGAAAGGUCAACUGAUACUGUGCGACUAGAGUGCGGAAGGGGCAACUGGAAUUCUCGGUGUAGCGGUGAAAUGCGUAGAUAUCGAGAGGAACACCUGCGGCGAAGGCGGGUUGCUGGGCCGACACUGACGCUGAUGCGCGAAAGCCAGGGGAGCGAACGGGAUUAGAUACCCCGGUAGUCCUGGCCUUAAACGAUGGAUGCUUGGUGUCUGGAGUUUUAUAGUCUCCGGGUGCCGUAGCUAACGCGUUAAGCAUCCCGCCUGGGGAGUACGGUCGCAAGACUG
rnacentral:rRNA from 1 species